rnacentral:lncRNA from 10 species
AUAGACACCUCUUUGGGAGGCUGGGCACAGUGGCUCACGCCUAUAAUCCCAGCACUUUGGGAGGCCGAGGCAGGCAGAUCACCUGAGGUAGGGAGUUCAAGACCAGCCUGACCAACAUGGAGAAACCCCAUCUCUACUAAAACUACAAAAUUAGCUGGGCGUGGUGGCACAUGCCUGUAAUCCCAGCUACUUGGGAGGCUGAGGCGGGAGAAUUGCUUGAACCGGGAGGCAGAGAUUGCGCUCAGGUUUCAGCUCCUCGGAAGAAAGCAGUUCUUGUGAAGUAAGAAGAAGGCGCCCUAGGAACAGGAAUCCCACCUUGAAGAUUGCUUCUCUAACCUGAACGUUGUCAGCCCAACUUCAGAGCAAAGUCAGGAAACUGCCAGAAAGGGCAGAGCCUGACAGUUUGCACAGCCUGAAGUAAUUCUUCCUCCUGCUCAGAAUGAGUGAUGCUCUGUAAAUGUUAUCACAUCCAGAAGGUCUCCCCACUAUGAUGAAAGGUUUGGACCACGUCUCAGAAAAGAUAUGUGACUGGACUGAGUGGUGGAAAGGGGGCCAAAGAAACUUUUUCCCAUAGACGAGUGUGUAACCAGUUGGUGGGCAGCAGUUUUUAGGAAGCUGAAUCUCAAAGGUCCGUAGCAGGCCAGAUCUCGCAUGACCACCCCUGUGUUCUUCUCCCGUAACUGUACAUUCAGCUUCCCCUGCACUUUCCCAA